GAAUAGGUCAUUAUUAUAAUGCGUUAUACACUAUGAAUAGGUCAUUAUUAUAAUGCGUUAUACACUAUGAAUAGGUCAUUAUUAUAAUGCGUUAUACACUAUGAAUAGGUCAUUAUUAUAAUGCGUUAUACACUAUGAAUAGGUCAUUAUUAUAAUGCGUUAUACACUAUGAAUAGGUCAUUAUUAUAAUGCGUUAUACACUAUGAAUAGGUCAUUAUUAUAAUGCAUUAUACACUAUGAAUAGGUCAUUAUUAUAAUGCGUUAUACACUAUGAAUAGGUCAUUAUUAUAAUGCGUUAUACACUAUGAAUAGGUCAUUAUUAUAAUGCAUUAUACACUAUGAAUAGGUCAUUAUUAUAAUGCGUUAUACACUAUGAAUAGGUCAUUAUUAUAAUGCGUUAUACACUAUGAAUAGGUCAUUAUUAUAAUGCGUUAUACACUAUGAAUAGGUCAUUAUUAUAAUGCAUU